AUGCCAGGGCUACGGGAUUCCACUGGCUGUAGCACCUCAUCGCCUGCUGUAGGCUCCAUGACUCGUUUCCAGUCUGCCAUCUUGUGGUCCUUCCUGUUGCUGCAGUCAUACUGGUUUACCGAGAGGGCAACAGUGGAUUUAGUAGACUUCAGGGUGAAGAAGAGUGCUCACCAGAUUCCCUUCUGGUCUGGAAAAAGAAAUCCCUUCUUUUGUGGAUGUCAUGUCUACCAUCUCUCGGUGAAAAAUAUUUCAAGAGAAUCCUAAGAUGGAGAGAGCAUUGGAAGUCAUCCGGCCCAAUUCCCUCAUGCAAUUCAAAGCUUCUUUGUAAGGUAGGGCACCAUUUACUUUUAUAAGGCCAACUUUGCGGAGUUUACUACUUUAUAAAGCAAGCUAUCGAAUAUUUACAGCUACAAUUGUGAAGAAAUACUUGAUAAAACUCUUUGAAUGACCAGUUUUGCCUAGUAAAACCUUAAAAUUACUUUUUAGUUAUCUCAUUUAUUAAAUUGUUCCUUUGUUCGUUCACUCAAAAAUAUUAAUUAAGCCAGGCUUGGUCUUAUUUAGCUUUGAAAUUACAGUGCUGGAUGGUUGUGAAUGCAUACUUUAUUC
ensembl:lincRNA